UAUUCAAGUAAGAAUUAUACCUUCAAACUAAUGAUGAUUUGAUGCAAGUAUGAUCUCCACAAUAUACCCACAUAGAUAUCCUUUAAUGAUAGUCCACACAAGAUCGAUCAUGGACCUUUCCAAUCUGCUGCUCCAAAGACUACUUCAUAAGAAUUCAGUAAUCUUUUCUUCUCAGGGAUGAAGCACAUAGCAACCUGAUAAUUUAUAAAUCUCCACAAAGAUUACAAUUGAAAUCUUUUCUCAAAAAAUUAGCAUGUCUCUUCUGAUUCAAAUAUCCAACUCUUGGAUAUUUCAAUAUC
rnacentral:lncRNA from 1 species